ACGAACGCUGGCGGCGUGCUUAACACAUGCAAGUCGAACGGAAAGGCCCCUUUGGGGGUACUCGAGUGGCGAACGGGUGAGUAACACGUGAGUAACCUGCCCUUGACUUCGGGAUAACUUCAGGAAACUGGGGCUAAUACCGGAUAGGAAUCCUUGCUGCAUGGUGGGGGUUGGAAAGCUUCGGCGGUUUUGGAUGGACUCGCGGCUUAUCAGCUUGUUGGUGGGGUAGUGGCUUACCAAGGCUUUGACGGGUAGCCGGCCUGAGAGGGCGACCGGCCACAUUGGGACUGAGAUACGGCCCAGACGCCUACGGGAGGCAGCAGUGGGGAAUAUUGCACAAUGGGCGGAAGCCUGAUGCAGCAACGCCGCGUGCGGGAUGACGGCCUUCGGGUUGUAAACCGCUUUCAGCAGGGGCGAAGCUUGUGGUGACGGUACCUGCAGAAGAAGCACCGGCUAACUACGUG
rnacentral:rRNA from 1 species